rnacentral:rRNA from 1 species
CCUACGGGAGGCAGCAGUGGGGAAUAUUGGGCAAUGGGCGCAAGCCUGACCCAGCAACGCCGCGUGAAGGAAGAAGGCUUUCGGGUUGUAAACUUCUUUUCUCAGGGACGAAGAAAGUGACGGUACCUGAGGACUAAGCCACGGCUAACUACGUGCCCGCAGCCGCGGUAAUACGUAGGUGGCAAGCGUUAUCCGGAUUUACUGGGUGUAAAGGGCGUGUAGGCGGGGAAGCAAGUCAGAUGUGAAAACCACGGGCUCAACCUGUGGCCUGCAUUUGAAACUGUUUUUCUUGAGUACCGGAGAGGCAGACGGAAUUCCUAGUGUAGCGGUGAAAUGCGUAGAUAUUAGGAGGAACACCAGUGGCGAAGGCGGUCUGCUGGACAGCAACUGACGCUGAGGCGCGAAAGCGUGGGGAGCAAACAGGAUUAGAUACCCGAGUAGUC